UGUUUUGUAGUGUAGUGGUUAUCACAUCUGCCUAACACGCUGAUGGUGCUGGGCUCGAAACCCAGUUGAAACCU
rnacentral:tRNA from 1 species